rnacentral:rRNA from 1 species
AUGAACGCUGGCGGCGUGCUUCACACAUGCAAGUCGAACGGAAAGGCCCAAGCUUGCUUGGGUACUCGAGUGGCGAACGGGUGAGUAACACGUGGGUGAUCUGCCCUGCACUUCGGGAUAAGCCUGGGAAACUGGGUCUAAUACCGGAUAGGACCACAUUUUGGAUGGUGUGGUGGAAAGUUUUUCGGUGUGGGAUGAGCUCGCGGCCUAUCAGCUUGUUGGUGGGGUAAUGGCCUACCAAGGCGUCGACGGGUAGCCGGCCUGAGAGGGUGUACGGCCACAUUGGGACUGAGAUACGGCCCAGACUCCUACGGGAGGCAGCAGUGGGGAAUAUUGCACAAUGGGCGCAAGCCUGAUGCAGCGACGCCGCGUGGGGGAUGACGGCCUUCGGGUUGUAAACUCCUUUCGCUAGGGACGAAGCGCAAGUGACGGUACCUGGAGAAGAAGCACCGGCUAACUACGUG